CCAAAAAAAGUGUGUGGAUCCUUAAUGUUUGCCAACACGGGAAAUUAAUAUUAACAUCAUAAGCUAAGAUCAAGCAGUAUUCAAGAAAAAAAAAAAAAAGUUUUUGGGAAUCUAUUCCCCCCAAAAUUACAAUCCAACACGGCUGUUUCAUUGAGUAACAUGACUUUGUUGAGUUGAAAUUUGAGCUUGUGAGCUUGGUCCAGUGCCUUCAUCCGGUUGAGCUUGUGAGCUUGCAUCCUUGCCUCCUCCUUUUGAGCCUCUUCUUGCUCUCUUCCUUGAACCAUCACC
rnacentral:lncRNA from 1 species